CUGAUAAAAUGACAUCUUAGUGUAUAUGUCCAAAUCCUAAAGCUGUUUAAUAAUUUACAGGAGGAAGGUGUCCAGAAUGAAUUGCUCAUUAAAGAUUUAGAGACUUUGAAGCUUCAGACUCUUCCUGUACCACAAAACCAGAGCGCUUCCCUAACAAAAAGCAGGAAGAAGGCAGGGAAAGUGAACAAUAUGGAACAUGAAUAGUAGUUCUGGAAUAGACAGAGCAGGGAAAACGCCAAAAAUAUCAAAAAAAUAAUUUGCCACCGUACAGGUCUUAAAGCACAUAUUGUCUGGAGCGAGAUGCUGACCUUGUUAAAGUUAUGGGGAAUAAUUCCAAUGGCAUUAGCACAGCUUUGCCUGAUGAAAUGAGGAUGGAGGGCGUGGGUUGCAUUCAAGGGAUAUUUCCUUUAUUUUUCGGGUUUCUCUGAGGCCUGGAAGAACCGAGGAAGGAAAAGUGGUGUAUCCAGAAACGUGUGAAUUCCUCAAGCGGAAGCAGCUCAGACAAGCUCAAUACACAUUUUGUGAAAAAGCUAACUGCUCGUGACAAGACAAUGUAUGAGAUUUGGCUGUAAAUUAGAAUUUGUUUGGCACCAAACAGGACAUUUGGCACUGAAUAGAGUUCAGAUAACAAGUUUAGAUAUGACACAGAGAAUGAGGUUGGAUAUGACUGAAUAUUAAAAAAAAUAUUCCUUUAAAUUCACUAGGGGUUCAGUUUUUAUCUAGGUUUUAUGUGCCUGCAGGGUUUACAACUCUGGCCCUCUCCUUUAGAAAUUUCAUAAGUUAUACUUGGAUGAAAAAAUAGUAUGUUAUAAUAGAAGCUUCUUCAAAUCUUAACAAAAAGCAGCUCUACAUAUUUGGCUCUUAAUUGUAGGAAUGAAAUAGAUGGUAGUAGAGUAAAUGUCAAUAUAUUUUCUUCGUCGGUUAAAAUAUAUAAAAACUUAAGAUAUCAGAGAUUUGUAAAGAACCUGUAUUUUCUGAGAUUUUUUUUUUUGCCUGCUUUCUUGCCACGUCACUGAUUUUGUUACUUUAAAUAAACUUUGCAUGAAGUAACUUCCAGUGUUGAAAAACAAAUAUUUAGCUUUUCCUAAGAAUCAUAUACUAGGAUAUUGCAAAGUCACCCCCAGUAAUGUCACUUUGACUGGAAACAGAUUCCAGGUUUUUAUCUCUUACAUUACUCAUACUUGAACUUGAUUUUUAGUGACGAUUAUGCAGCUAUAAAUGAAGACAAACAGAUCAAUAACACUGUCAAAGUUGACUGCAGAAGCAUCUUUAUACCUUUUAGUAACUUGAACAAACAGCAUGUGCUGCUAUGGGUGGUCUGGUCUUCUGAUACCUGUUUUAUUUACAAAGUGAGGAGUGGAAUAGAUUUAUCAUGUAAUAUCAGCAACAAAGAAAAAUUUGUGAGGCUUAUCAGUACUUUAAAGUUUGCUGUUAACAAAACUUUGCUCAGCUUCAAGAAAAGCUCUUUAUUGUGUUUUAACGUGGAAUGGAAUAUUGUGCUGAACUCAUCAUUGUAUUUAUUUUUAUUAUGUACAGAAACUACAGUGACAUGAGCAUUUUCUAGAACUGGGAAAUUAAACAGGUUAUUACUCUCUAUCUGAAGAAAAUUAGUGCUGUCAUUGCAAGGCUAUUAUUUCUAUUCAUUUUCAGUGCAACAAAUUGGUUUUGCAAGGUUUUGUUACUCUUCCCUCCCAUCCCCACAUCUGUCUUGUCUCUGCUGAGCUUGGGUUAAUGAGGGGCCACAUGCAUUUUGCCUAUUUUAGGCUCAAAAAUAAAUUUUCUUACAAAGCAUAUCAAUGAUGUUAUUAAUCACACAGUGCCUUUAUAAUGUUUUUGUGUUAACUGUAUUUUUGAUGCUUACUCUUAUGCUAGUAGGCGUAAUUAUUCUUUAAAUAACAAAGAAAAUUAUGCAUACAUUUAUACAUUCAUGACAUUUGAAGACUAUUGUUUCCUAAUGGAGGUAUAAAUCACUGCUUUUUAUAAUCUUUUGAAUUUUGUCAGUGAAUGGUGUCAUAACUAUUAUUUAAUAACAGGCAAAAGGCCUCAUCAGUAACUUAACUUUCCUGCAGAUGAUCCUCCUCUGUGUAUCACUGCUCUGCAACUCUGUGUUGAAGAACAGAGAAUGUUAAUUUGCCUCGAUAAAUGCAUGAGAUCACUGCAAAAGUUAGAGGAAAUAUGAAAAUAAACUGACAUGCAUCUCUGA